rnacentral:rRNA from 1 species
AUUGAAAGCUGGCGGCAGGCCUAACACAUGCAAGUCGAGCGGAUGAAGGGAGCUUGCUCCUGGAUUCAGCGGCGGACGGGUGAGUAAUGCCUAGGAAUCUGCCUGGUAGUGGGGGAUAACGUCCGGAAACGGGCGCUAAUACCGCAUACGUCCUGAGGGAGAAAGUGGGGGAUCUUCGGACCUCACGCUAUCAGAUGAGCCUAGGUCGGAUUAGCUAGUUGGUGGGGUAAAGGCCUACCAAGGCGACGAUCCGUAACUGGUCUGAGAGGAUGAUCAGUCACACUGGAACUGAGACACGGUCCAGACUCCUACGGGAGGCAGCAGUGGGGAAUAUUGGACAAUGGGCGAAAGCCUGAUCCAGCCAUGCCGCGUGUGUGAAGAAGGUCUUCGGAUUGUAAAGCACUUUAAGUUGGGAGGAAGGGCAGUAAGUUAAUACCUUGCUGUUUUGACGUUACCAACAGAAUAAGCACCGGCUAACUUCGU